rnacentral:rRNA from 1 species
AACGUAGGUGGCAAGCGUUAUCCGGAUUUACUGGGCGUAAAGGGUGUGCAGGCGGGGGUGCAAGUGGGGUUUGAAAUCUCCCGGCUUAACCGGGAGGGGUUAUGCCAGACUGCAAUUCUAGAGGACGAGAGAGGGGGGUGGAAUUCCGGGUGUAGUGGUGAAAUGCGUAGAGAUCCGGAGGAACCCCAGAGGCGAAGGCGGCCCCCUGGCUCGUACCUGACGCUCAGCCACGAAAGCAUGGGGAGCGAACGGG